AACGAACGCUGGCGGCAGGCUUAACACAUGCAAGUCGAGCGCCCCGCAAGGGGAGCGGCAGAUGGGUGAGUAACGCGUGGGAAUCUACCCAUCUCUACGGAAUAACGCAUGGAAACGUGUGCUAAUACCGUAUACGUCCUUCGGGAGAAAGAUUUAUCGGAGAUGGAUGAGCCCGCGUUGGAUUAGCUAGUUGGUGGGGUAAAGGCCUACCAAGGCGACGAUCCAUAGCUGGUCUGAGAGGAUGAUCAGCCACACUGGGACUGAGACACGGCCCAGACUCCUACGGGGGGCAGCAGUGGGGAAUAUUGGACAAUGGGCGCAAGCCUGAUCCAGCCAUGCCGCGUGAGUGAUGAAGGCCCUAGGGUUGUAAAGCUCUUUCACCGGUGAAGAUAAUGACGGUAACCGGAGAAGAAGCCCCGGCUAACUUCGUGCCAGCAGCCGCCGUAAGAC
rnacentral:rRNA from 1 species